UACGUAGGGGGCAAGCGUUGUCCGGAAUCAUUGGGUGUAAAGAGCGUGUAGGCGGCUUGGUAAGUCCGCUGUGAAAGUCCAGGGCUCAACCCUGGAAUGCCGGUGGAAACUGUCAAGCUUGAGUCCGGAAGAGGCGAGUGGAAUUCCUGGUGUAGCGGUGAAAUGCGCAGAUAUCAGGAGGAACACCAAUGGCGAAGGCAGCUCGCUGGGACGGUACUGACGCUGAGACGCGAAAGCGUGGGGAGCAAACAGG
rnacentral:rRNA from 1 species